CCUACGGGAGGCUGCAGUGGGGAAUAUUGGACAAUGGGGGGAACCCUGAUCCAGCCAUGCCGCGUGUGUGAAGAAGGCCCUCGGGUUGUAAAGCACUUUCAGUGAGGAAGAACGCCUGGUGGUUAAUACCCAUCAGGAAAGACAUCACUCACAGAAGAAGCACCGGCUAACUCCGUGCCAGCAGCCGCGGUAAUACGGAGGGUGCGAGCGUUAAUCGGAAUUACUGGGCGUAAAGCGCGCGUAGGUGGCUUGAUAAGCCGGUUGUGAAAGCCCCGGGCUCAACCUGGGAACGGCAUCCGGAACUGUCAAGCUAGAGAGCAGGAGAGGAAGGUAGAAUUCCCGGUGUAGCGGUGAAAUGCGUAGAGAUCGGGAGGAAUACCAGUGGCGAAGGCGGCCUUCUGGACUGACACUGACACUGAGGUGCGAAAGCGUGGGUAGCAAACAGGAUUAGAUACCCUGGUAGUC
rnacentral:rRNA from 1 species